rnacentral:rRNA from 1 species
UGCAGUCGAACGAGACCUUCGGGUCUAGUGGCGCACGGGUGCGUAACGUGUGGGAAUCUGCCCUUAGGUACGGAAUAACUCAGAGAAAUUUGUGCUAAUACCGUAUGAUGUCGAAAGACCAAAGAUUUAUCGCCUAAGGAUGAGCCCGCGUAAGAUUAGCUUGUUGGUGAGGUAAAAGCUCACCAAGGCGACGAUCUUUAGCUGGUCUGAGAGGAUGAUCAGCCACACUGGGACUGAGACACGGCCCAGACUCCUACGGGAGGCAGCAGUGGGGAAUAUUGGACAAUGGGCGAAAGCCUGAUCCAGCAAUGCCGCGUGAGUGAUGAAGGCCUUAGGGUUGUAAAGCUCUUUUACCAGGGAUGAUAAUGACAGUACCUGGAGAAUAAGCUCCGGCUAACUCCGUGCCAGCAGCCGCGGUAAUACGGAGGGAGCUAGCGUUGUUCGGAAUUACUGGGCGUAAAGAGUACGUAGGCGGUUAUUCAAGUCAGAGGUGAAAGCCUGGAGCUCAACUCCAGAACUGCCUUUGAAACUAGAUAGCUAGAAUUAUGGAGAGGUUAGUGGAAUUCCGAGUGUAGAGGUGAAAUUCGUAGAUAUUCGGAAGAACACCAGUGGCGAAGGCGACUAACUGGACAUAUAUUGACGCUGAGGUACGAAAGCGUGGGGAGCAAACAGGAUUAGAUACCCUGGUAGUCCACGCCGUAAACGAUGAUAACUAGCUGUUCGGGCUCUACGAGCUUGAGUGGCGCAGCUAACGCAUUAAGUUAUCCGCCUGGGGAGUACGGUCGCAAGAUUAAAACUCAAAGGAAUUGACGGGGGCCUGCACAAGCGGUGGAGCAUGUGGUUUAAUUCGAAAGCACGCGCAGAACCUUACCAGCGUUUGACAUCCUAAUCGCGGUUUUCAGAGAUGAUUACCUUUCAGUCGGCUGGAUUAGUGACAGGUGCUGCAUGGCUGU